rnacentral:rRNA from 1 species
UACGUAGGGGGCAAGCGUUAUCCGGAUUUACUGGGUGUAAAGGGAGCGCAGACGGCAGUGCAAGUCUGGAGUGAAAGCCCGGGGCCCAACCCCGGGACUGCUCUGGAAACUGUACGGCUAGAGUACGGGAGGGGCAGGCGGAAUUCCUAGUGUAGCGGUGAAAUGCGUAGAUAUUAGGAGGAACACCGGCGGCGAAGGCGGCCUGCUGGACCGAAACUGACGUGGAGGCUCGAAAGCGUGGGGAGCAAACAGG